rnacentral:rRNA from 1 species
GACAGAGGUCCCGAGCGUUAGGCGGAAUCACUGGGCUUAAGGCGUGUGUAGGCGGAUUGGUAAGUACCUUGUGAAAUCCCACGGCUUAACCGUGGAACUGCUUGGUAUACUGCUUAUCUUGGGCCACUUAGGGGCUACCGGAACAAACGGUGGAGCGGUGAAAUGCGUAGAUAUCGUUUGGAACGCCAAUGGUGAAAACAGGUAGCUGGGAGUGUGCCGACGCUGAGACACGAAAGCCAGGGGAGCGAACGGG